CAUGAAUCUGGCAGAAAACUUCCACAAUGUGCCUUUAUCUGCACGAACCCAUCUGUGCUCUGAAUCAGCCACAAAUCUCUUAAUAGUGCAAUGAUCACGCUUAAGUUUUCAUGAAACAUCUAAUGUUUUCAUACCUCGUCCAAGGCAUUGAACUAUUUCUUUUCGGCAGCAGAGAGAUCCUUUUUCUUCCCCGUAUUCCUUUAGUAGUUUUUCCUUAAAUUGGGCUCACCUGGCAAUCUAUCACAGGUGUCCGAGAUUGUUUUCAG